GACCCCUUGGCUCAGUGGUAGAGCAUCUGAUUCCAGGAAUCACGUGACACGUCAAUAACGCGUGAUUUGGAGCCUCCAGAAGGUCGUCCGUUCAAUCCGGGCAGGGGUCA